ensembl:lncRNA
GGCAGGGGGGCCCUGCCCUCCAGGCCACUUCUGUCCAGAGGGCACGGGGGUGCCCCUGCCCUGCCCUGUGGGCACCUUCUCAGAUCGGUGAGUGCCACUGCCCCAGGUCCAAGGGGCAGUCUUCCUGGUCUUCCUUCCCACAGUGACCAUCUAUCUGUCUCACCAAUGAUGUCCCUCCGCCAUGGAGGAACAUGGACCUCAGAGAGCAGGACUUCUGCCUGGCCUCCAAGGGCAGGAACCCCCUGAGCAGCAGCGGAGGGACGGGGAGCACGAUGGUCAGAAUCAGGGCAGACGGUGCUGGCUGCUGGCCGCUUGAGAACGUGUCAGGCCUGAGGAGCAAACCAGGAAGAAGCCUGUGUGUCUGCCUGCACCUCAUUUGAGAGUAGAGCCCCAUCUCCCACCUUUAGGAACUGCCCAACCCCCAAGCAAGGGCACCGCAGAAUGAGGCAGCUGAGGAACCCGUGGCUGAAAGGCUGCUGGACAUUCUGACUGCAGCUGCCAGACCAGGGGUCUGCGGCCCUGGACAGCCUGACUCUGAACUGGGGAUUAAGAUGACAAGGAAACUAACCAGGAGCCUAUCUUAGGAGAGAGAGACCCAGCACACCCAGACGCCACCUUGGACCGCGCAUGGGAGCGCGAGGAAGCCCAGGGAGCCUCAACAAGGAGAAAUGAGAAGGCAGCCCCAGAAGGGCGGGUCUCUCGCCGGGACAUAGCCUCUCUACCCUAAGGGCCUCCUUUCCCACUGACCCGCACUCGCUCUCUGUGUCCCAGGAUGCUUCUCUCCACGGCCUCAGAGUGCCUACCCUGCCCCUCUGGCCAUUUCUGUGGUGUGUCUGGCCUUGCUGCCCCCUCUGCACCCUGCUCCCCUGGCUACUUCUGUCUGGUGGCAGUCUCUUCCCCAACCCCAACAGGCCACUCAGAGAAGGGGGGCCCCUGUCCCCGAGGUCACUUAUGCCCCAGGGGGACCAGCCUCUCCCAGCCUUGCCCUGCUGGCUCCUACAGCAACCUGACUGGCCAAGCCUCCUGCUUCCCCUGCCCCGCCGGCUACUACUGCCCUGAGAGUGUCAGCACCUACCACGAGCACCCCUGCCCUGCCGGCUUCUUUUGCCCCAGAGGCACCAAGUACGCCACCCAGUUCCCCUGCCCUCGGGGCUACUACAACCCAGACCCACUGACGCAGAGCCUGGACAGCUGUCUGCCCUGCCCGCCAGGCCACUACUGCGGCCAGGAGAACCUGACCCAGGCCUCUGGGCCCUGUGAUGCAGGCUGGUUCUGCGUGUCAACAGCAUGGACCGCUCGUCCCUUCGACCUGGACAACUACACCAGCACCAAUUGCCUGUGCCCGGCCGCGGCCACAGCGGGGAAGUGCCUGGCAGGCUCCUUCUGCCCCGAGGGCAGCCCGGAGCCCAGACCCUGCCUGCCGGGCUCUUUCUGCGCCACCUCCGGCCUCUCCACACCCAGUGGGCCCUGCCAAGCUGGCUACUUCUGUGCAGAAGGAGCAGUGUCCCCAGCUCCACGGGACGGACUGACAGGGGCCCCCUGCCCCCCAGGAACCUUCUGUCCUGCAGCAUCACCCAGGCCUGUGCGGUGUCCUGCCGGCACCUUCUCCAGCUUCCCAGAGCAGACGGUGCCCUCUGCGUGCCAGGCCUGCCCGCGCGGCUUCUACUGCAAGGAGCCUGGUCUCCAGGCCCCCUGCUGGCAGUGCCCAGCAGGCUAUUACUGCCCCCUGGGCACAGCCGUGGCCACACACCCCAGCUGCCCAGUGGGCACUUACGGCCCUCGGAAGGGGCUGAGGAGCAUCACUGAGUGCCUGCUGUGCCCCGCUGGGAAGUUCUGUGCGCUGGCAGGGCUCGCAGCGCCCACAGGAGACUGUGCUGCAGGGCACUGGUGCAAGGGAGGAGCCACCAGCAAGGACCCCGCUGAUGGGGCACGAGGCCUCCUCUGCCCUGCUGGGCACUACUGCCUCGAGGGAGCUUCAGUCCCAGCCCGAUGCCCACCUGGUACCUGGUCUGAGGAAGGGAACCAAACCCCAGAAGGAUGUCAAGAUUGCUAUGGAGGACAACUCUGCUCUGGCAGCCACCCAUCAAUCUGGCCAGCACCCUGCCACCCAGGGUUUCUACUGCCCUGAAGGGACAGGGCUCAAUUGGCAGCCCUGCCCCCUGGGCACCUAAGGCCCAGUGCCCGGACUGGGCAGCCUGCCGGGAUGUGGAGUCUGUGACGGAGGCAGGUUCUGCCCCAGGGCCAGUGCCACGGAGGCGGGCAGACAGUGCUGGGAGGGCUUCUUCUGCUCCAGAGGGUCCACCCGGCCCAACCCGGAGGCUGGCACUGAAGAGGGGACUGGCCCAUGUCCUCAAGGACACUACUGCCCCAGGGGCUCAGCUGUGCCCCAGCCUUGCCCACCUGGCACCUUCGGCUCACGCGCCAAGCUCAGUUCAGAGGAUUCCUGCUCCCCAUGCCCGCCGGGCCACUACUGCAGCUCUGCUGGCCUUGCCAGCCCUCCUGGACUCUGCAGCACAGGUUUCUUCUGCCUCAGUGGGGCGCUCGUCCCCAACGGCUCCCUGGGAGACCAGGCCGGUGGCCCCUGCCCCACAGGACACUUCUGCCCCCCAGGCACUGCUGUCCCCAGGCCCUGCCUGGCAGGCACCCACAACGGCCUAGCUGCCCGAGGCCACUGUGAGCCUUGUCCAGAGGGGUGAGUGCAGAGAGGCCUUCCACGGCCCCACGUGUCCAGCUGGGCACACGGUUUGCAUUCCUGCACAGGAGGUGGCUGGAGCAGAUCUCGCUGAGAUUCCUUUCUGCCUGAGUAUUCUGUGACUUCAAGAAGACACAGAAGAACUUCCAUGACUUCUAGCUAGCUUGCUUUACGUCUCUUGAUCUCUUCGUUGUGCAUCACUGAGUCAUUCCUAAUUUCAGACCUGGGUCUCUUUUGCUUCAGUUUAAGCCAGUCAGCCUCCCCUUGAGUGCCUUGAGCUGGAGCAGAGCUGUGCCCAGCCAAGCGAUUGUUCCUGCGGUCUGUGGGGAGGCCAGCCCAGGAAGCCAUCUCCACACACCCCAGGCCAUUGGGUCACACAGCCCUCUGAGCUCCCCCCUCCUCGUCCUGUCUGUAGUUUCUUCUGCCCAGCAAAUACCUCCUCUGUGGUGGGGAACGAGUGUCCAGCCGGCCAUUACUGCCCUGCCUCCACCUCCUCUGCUUCUCAGUUCCCGUGCCCCAGGGGCACCUACAAGCCACAGGGAGGCGGUGUCCAGCAGUCAGACUGCAUCGUCUGCGAGCCAGGCUCCCACUGUCUCUUGCCUGGGCUGGUGGCCGUGUCUGGGCCCUGCCAUGCCGGGUUCCACUGCACUCAGGGAGCAUCUGUCCCAAAUCCCACUGACGGGAUCACAGGAGACCUCUGUCCUCUGGGCCACUUCUGUCCCCAGGGUAGCCCCAGGCCCACUCCCUGCCCCCCAGGUGAGUCACCGAUUCGUGAGCCCCAGCAAUGCAGGGGUCUGCUCUGCACCCUUGAGGAGGAAAAGGAGUGGAGGUCCAGCCUGGAGAAGGACCCAGAGGAAACCCCUGCAUUGGACUUAGAGAGUGACAUCCGUCCUGCCCCGAUGCAGCAAGGGGCGUGGGUGGAGGGCUGAGGGCGUUUAGAGCUAUGACCAGGCCCCCGGGGGAAGCUUGACCAGGGAGGGGUGGAGGGAAGAGGCACAGUGGGAAGGGAGUGAUGCCUGGCAGUGGAAAUGGGGCAUGGGAUGCCCCUCACCUGUGUCAGCUGAGCCCGGCUCUGGCUCCCCAGGUAGAAGGUGGGCUCGGGAGGCAGGGGGCCUUGCAGUCGCUGGGCCCUGAGCCUGAGCAGGCAGAGCAGGAUCAUGGCUCUGCCCUCUGAGACGGGCCACUGCGGGGCUUCAGCUGGGAGGCCUCCUGGCGGUGGCCACAAUGUGUGGACAUACAGGGUCUCUCCUGCCCGUCCCCGGGGCCACAUCACUGGAGGACGGCCAGCCAUGCCCGGCUGGCUGGUUCUGCUCCCAGGCUGGCCUGAGCUCCCCGGAGGCCCCGUGUGAAGAAGGCUGGUUCUGCCCCAGGGCUUCUGUCUCCGGGCACGGUCCAGGCUCCCGUGCCUAACAGCAGUGAGACGAGCCUCGUGACCUGGGGCCUGCUGAGGAGGGGCCGCAAGCCUGUGCGUUAGCAAGGCUCCCCGUGCACCCAAAGCUCAGACAGGGAGAGGAGAGAGGCUCAGGAUGAGAGGAAGGGAAGAAACGAGAAGCAUUGAAACAAAAGCAAUCAUCAAAGAUGGUGAAUCCUGUGCUCUGGGGGAAGGAAUACAGGUUCCCAAGGGCCAGGACCCUCUUGUGAGGGAGCAGGAAGGGUCUUCACCCCUCAUGCGAGACCCUGGGCCUGGCAGAAAAGGGAGAGGUCAGACCCAAGGACAAGGUCCUAGCAGAGCCGGCACAAUUCCAUCUUCUGCGGCCUCAGUCCUCAACAGGGGCUGGGAAACGCUUCCCGGACGGGCCAUGCUCAGCAGGUUAUUACUGCACCCCUGGCCAGACCUCAGCCACCCCUAUAUCUUUCCGGUGCCCCCGUGGCUUCUACUGUUCCGAGGGAUCUCCCCAGCCAAGGGCCUGUGAGAACGGAACAUUUCAGCCCCAGGAAGCAAAGGGCUCCUGUGAGCCCUGCCCCACAGGAUUCUACUGUGACGCCUCUGGCAAAGGCCCGAUCCUGUGCCUCCGGGGCUACUUCUGUCCCCCCGGCUCCCACUCAGCCACUGCCCACCCAUGCCCUUGGGGGACAUUCGGGCCCAGGCAAGGGGCCACUGCAGAGAGGGACUGUGAGCUGUGCCCAGCAG